GAGGAGGGAGGUCCCUUGUUGACAAAGUGUGAGUACGACCUCUCCGGGCAGACUCAGCCAAAGUAAAUUGUAUCUGUGCUGAUGCAACGGCCUAGAAAAAUACUAGCACUGGAGCUUUUCUUUUAGAAACCCAUCGACCUAUCACCAUAAAGAGGUCGUAUCAAUAAAUGACGGCAAAUAAUAAAAGGCCGAACAAAAGUGACACUUACUGGAGGGGACCUUCGGUCCAAAGUGUUAGAAAACUGACCAAUCUCGAAUUCCCACCAUAUGAGGUAAUACGCGAGCCACCCAUCCCUCAGUGUUGAUGAAGGGAAAGAGUGCACGCCUCUUUGCUAAAAAAACAACACAAAGAAAUCACAAGAGAAUGAAAAUUAAAAGGGAUGAAAGAAGAUAACAAAUGUAUGCCAUCAACACCUACGGUUAUGAUUCCACUGCUCGGGAAAUCCAGCAAGAUUUGACACUAAGUGCUUAGUUUUGAUAAAAAAGUACUUGUACCAAAAUUUCCAGUUCAUCCUAUCAUCAACGGCGGAGGCAGGAUCUCCACGAAGGGGGUUCCAAAAAUCUUUUUUGUAACUAGUGGGAAUUGAACCCAUGACCUUGUGUAGAUUUUGAACCCCAUUGACCACUAAACUACACUUUUGGAUUGUGUGAAGGGUGUUCAAAACUUAAUAUAUAGAGGUAAAAAACAGACUUUACCUUAUAUAUAUAUAUAUAUAUAUAUAUAUAUAGUAUAUUUUUUUUGUGAAGGGGUUUAGAUGAACCCUUCUGCCCCCUUGACCAGAACCAGAGCAAAUGCCUUGCAUACAUUUAUGGUGAUAAAAAUAAGCGAGACACCUAUAUGUGGUUACUUCCUUAUUUGGGCCAGGUAAAUAUUGGAGUUAUACUAAAGGUUUCUUUCUUCAGAUUUAUUGACCCCUACCUAUCAUUCAUUCCAACUAUCAGCCCCCUGGUCCUGCGAUGUCACAGGUGUAUCAUAGUACCUUUGUAAAAACUUGGUGAAAAUAAGUGUAAUAAGUGGUGAAUGUCGACCUUGCAACCAUCCAACUCUGCAAACUUUGUCAGCAUCAGGAAAGCUUUAUAGAGAAAGCUGUGUCCGGACGUUGUAAAAUCGACAGAUUUCCUCCACAGUGCAAAGAGAGAGAGAGAGAGAGAGAGAGAGAGAGAGGGAGAGAGAGAUAGAGAGAAAGAGAGAGAGAGAGGGAGAGAGAGAGAGAGGGACAGAGAGAGAAAGAGAUAAUAACCAAUUAAGAAAUGGUAAACAUAAAAGGCAUAGUACUCAGGUCUAUGGACAUCUAAGAUGUCACCACCAGCUGUUACGCCCCCAUUUUCUCGCGAAAUCGGAUUUUUGACAUUCAGGAGGACAACUCAUUCCCAUUAGAGAAUUGGGAUUUAGAAUUGAAGAGCCAUCGAAUAAUUAUAGUACAUUAGGACACUAAGAAGGGUUCUGUUUGGACAAUAAGAGAUUGAAUAUCAGCUUGAAAUUAUCCCAAAAGGAAGGUGUUAGGCACCUUUCAGAAUCCACUAGUGUCAUUUCCGGCCAAGCUAUUAUUGUGACUUAAAUUCAAAUAACACACAAGCAAGUAAGAGUUCCACAUAAGAGGGGAUUUCCAUGUAAUGGUCACAAAUAAACAAAAUCAGCAAGAGCUAAAGAGAGUUGAUUUUUUCUUUCUUAGAAGAGAUGGUUUCGAAAGAUUUAAAAGAAACAAAGAACAAAAUGGAGAGGUCCUAGGUUUAUCAAUAAUAUGGAUCACGUCAAUGCAAUAUCCGGUAAUCACUCCUCAGAGAGGGGAUACACGCGGUAUUAACGCACUGGUCAUUAUAUCCAUAUCUACCAUUUCCCACCCCGUUUAAGGAAUAAAGGCGCGAAACGGCCUCGUUUACUUAUUGCAUGCUAUCAUUCGCCCCGAUCCUAUCAGUCCCUGAGGUACUUGAGACUACUAGUCCUAAAAGGAGGAAGUUUUGGGCUUAUUUAUGGUUUCAAAAGGAAACAAUACUAAGGCGACAAACAAAACACAUAUAGCAGGUUUGGGGGAGCAUAUGAACAAAUAAAAGGCCCAAACAGACCUCCUUUAAACCAAGAAAGCACAUAGUUUAUUAUGUUAUACACGUACCAUUUAUGAUCUAAUUAAAACUUAAAUAUUUGAGGCAUAUUGAUUUAUUACAUAGUUCAGAUAAGAAGCCUCAAUCUGGAAUGCCUGCUGGUUGUAACAUAUAAAAAUCUAAUUUCAAUAUAAAAGUUAUCCUAUGGCUUGCCUAAGUGUUGGACAAAAACCUAUGGGCAUGAUAUCUAUUGAUUCUAGAAGCAAAUUAAUUACAAACUACUUUAAGAAAAGUUGCCAAUUAAAAGUGAGUUUUAGAAGAGCGCAAGUUCCGUUAUUGGUGAUACAUUAUUACUGCUAGUUUUAGACUUAUGAGUGAGUGAAGUUAUUCAGCUUUGAUUAACUCCUUUAGGAAUGCUUUCUAAGCAUUUUUCGACUUCAUAACACAUUGAUAAACAUAGUAAAAAUACAGAAAAUCCUAUAGGCAUGACACAUACAUGCUGAGUUUUAUAUGAACAUGACAUCUGAUUGCAUUUUGGUUAUUUAGACCUAUGAACACGUUUGCCUAGUAAGAAAUGGGUAUGCAAGAAUCAAAAAGGACCACCCAUAGGCAUAUUUUCUACAUACAUGUGUAUCUAUAGAAAUGAUAUCUAUAUAUUCGAAUGCUAAAAUCAGAAAUCCUAUAGGCAGGUUAUCUACGUGGGAAUGCAAAAAUCUUAUAGGCAUGGUAUCUAUAUAUGAGAGUGCAAAAAUUACAAAUCCCAUAGGUAGGUUAUCUAUAUGAGAAUGUAGAAAUCUUAUAGACAUGGUAGCUAUAUGAGAUUACUAAAAUUAGAAAUCCUAUGGACAUAUUUUUUACAUUUAUAAAAUGCAGAAAUCCUAUGGCCAUUGUGUCGACCCUCUUUAGCAUACAUAAUUCCCCUUCCCUUUUUACUAGCCAUCCUUGAGAGUUUUAUUAUAUAGUUAUUACAACCUGGAAAAGAAAGUAAGGUACAGAAAAAUACAUCAGAAUCUAAAAGUACAACAAAGGAAAGCCUAAUUCAGACUUCCUAUCUGAAGCAUGACAUAAACCAACUCUGAAAGAUCAGAUUUCAAAGCCUUUCUCCCAUUUGGAGUGUGUCAAAGUUCCCUAAGAGUCUUUUAUCAACUACGGGCUGUGCUUACACCCAAAUACAUUACCAGAUUAAGAUAUAGUGCAGUGUGGAAGCGUCAUCCCUCAAGUGUCCAAGUUCAAAGGGAACUCAAGGUCCCAAGGCAAGGCUCACAGGGGGCAAAACUUAGAAACUAAGAGAGAGUGCAAGUGCAGAAGUGAAAUUCUAAAAGGGGAAAAGGAAGAGGAAAUAGUUCACAUUAAUACACAUAGGGGUAUAUGAAAUGGGGAGUUGCAAGAGGUAAAAAGCAAGCUGGUGUACAUAACCAAUAAUAAUAGAUGUUGGAAUACUCAUAAGUCUGUUUAGAACAUACUAUUUAGAGGUUAGGAUCCUUUAAGGGAUCAAAUUCAAUCCAAAGACAAUAACUUACAUAUUUCCAUGUUUUGAACUGUAACUCAAACACAAAAGGAAUAUAGGGAAAAAGGAUACAUAGCAGAGACAAGAAAAAGGAAAUCAACAUGCUAGUUUAUGUACUUAACUCUGCAGAAGUAUUAAAGUAAUAAUAGAUGCAGAUAGAUGCAAGCAAACACAUUGUGGUGAUGCUGAAGUUAAAUUAGGACAUACCAGUUUCAAAGAACAAAUAGGGAAAAGUAGUAAUCUUGUGAAAGCCAGAAUGCAGACAAGAAGGAAAAAUUCUAUUAGGUAAGAGUGAGAAUUCAGAAGAGAUUGUGAAGUGGAGAAUUGUUAAAUCGUCUGUGAUAUGUGUUAAAGAGUUGUGUAUUUAUAGUGUAAAAAUAAUGAGAAAAUAAGGUUAGAAAAUAGUUGAAGAAUUGAUUGUCAAUCAAUUAAACAAGACCCCCUUUAAUUAAGGGAUUCAGAUUCAGAUGGGUAUAAACUAAUUAAGGAAAGAAAUUAAUCAAACACUUUGUACAAAGUAGGCAAUUAGGGUGAGUACAUAAAAGUUAUUUAAGGACACGGAUUUGAAAUACGCGACUUUUUGCAAAUAAGGUAAGAAUAUCAAUUAACAACCAGCAAAUUAAAUGGUCUGAGAUUUUGUAUAAAUGAACCAAGUCAGAAAAGAUGAAGACGAGUUUUACUUAGGUCGAGUCACAGAGACAAUAAGUAAACAAUGGAAAGAAAUCAAUCAUGCUAUAUUUAGAAGGAAGCUUGAACUAAUUGCAAAUUUGAAAACCAUUUAGAGGAAAAGUCAUCAUAUAAAAAGAGCAUGUGAUUAUGUUAAGUAUGAAAGAAAAAUUGUCAUGUCACUGUAACCUUAGUAGAAAAAUCCAGUGUAGAAGAGUUUAGUAAAAGGGUCAGAAUCAUAUGAAAACAAUAAAGUACAAAAUCAAUUCAGAGACCCGAAGUUGGUCUGAAAGAGUUAGGAGUUCUAGAAAUAAAAAUUCAAGUUAAAUCACAUCACAUGAUCAAACUUGACCGAAUUCCCAAAUUCUAGGGUUUCUAGGUUGAGUCAAAUGCAGAGAUGACAAGGCAAGUAGUCGAAACAGGCUCAGAGAUUUCAAAGAAGAAUUGAAACCUCUUGGAUGCUUCUACCAACAACAAAACUCAUGACAAAGCAUGAUAUCAAGGUAACAGGCAGAAGACAGUAGAAGCACUCAAAGAAAAAUAGAGAAAAAACACUGACAUGAACAGUAAACAUGGUUAAGCAGUUUUUCAGAAGAAACUUAAAUCGGGCUUAGCAAAAAGAAAGUAAGGAAACUUAGGAACUUAACAGUAAAGUACAGUAGGAAAAACAUUCUGGAACUUAGUAGAAGAAAAAUACAUGAGCAUAAUAGAAAAGCAUAUGAGAACACAGUACGGAAAAAAUGGUAGAAGAACAUACAAGCAUGGAAUAUAUAAAACAAAUUAAGAAAAGAACAUACAAGAAUGAAGUAUAAAAACUCAGUAUAAGAAUAUACAAUAACAUAACACAGUAGAGGAAAGUACACAAAAUAAAAGGGAAAGAAAGUCAGAGGAACACUUAAACAUUUUUUCAGAAAACUCUAGAUCGAAAAGAACGAUUUUUAAAAGUAAUCUUUUAAAGAAAAGUUAGGGAAAUCGUUUGAAAACUCAGGAAAAGCAUAGAUACACAAAAGAUCUAAAGAAAUCGGAGAAAACCUCGAGGAAAGAACCCUAGAAGUGAGAAAAGCUUUGAAAGGUCACCGAUCGGAGUCAGAGAGAUCAGAACCAUGCUCAAACAACCUUGAUAUGCCGGAUCAAGGCCGGAGAUGACCUUGAGACCUUGAAUCAAGAAUGGUAUGGGUUCAACCCUUUAUAGUCAGGCCAUAAAUCUUCAUGUAUCAGGCACGUAAAAGUACCAGGAGGUAGGUGUAAGACUCAUAUAGCUUUGAUGGCCAUAGAUUCUAGUGCAUUUCAGGGCGGAGGUAGCUAGGGUUAGAGAAGGUUUGAGAGUAUUUGAGAGAAGGAGAGGAUUUAAAAGGUAGC
rnacentral:lncRNA from 1 species